rnacentral:lncRNA from 1 species
UUUUUUUUUUUUAAUUUACAUGUUAUUGUAAAAAAACAAAAAAUCCCUUCGCCCCAGUUUAGAGUUAUGGUAACUUCCUUCUCCACAACAGCACUUAGGCCAAGAAAAAGUUAUUGAUGAUCCUGAAAGUAGAAAUGAGGUAAAGUGUUAAGACUGGUGUGUGUAUGAGUGGGGGUUACACCGCAAUACGAGUCCACUAUGCUACUCACUAAUGACAUUAGUAAAAUAUGAGGUAGUUAAAAGCUCUCUUAGAUACAUGGAUUAUUGUUCCCCUCGAGCAAUUUAUUAUGCAUAAUGGAAAGGAUUUUCUUUGAUGGGUUCUUCAACUGCAUUUGCAUUUUGCCACAGAGAACAAAGCAAUGUAAAAGAAUGAGUUGUUUUUUAAAUUUAUUUAAGAAAAUACUUGAAUUGUGUAAGACAACCAAAUUAAAUAUUUAAACAUGAAAAGAGUGCCAGAGUCAGGACACAGCAUUUAUUUUGCUGACUUGCUCUGACAGAUAAUAGAGAUUGAUUUAAUAGUGGCCAAAUACAAUGGCAGUAUUUACUAAAGGGCCAGAAAGUGGCUAGUUGGGGAUAACUGCAUUUAAAAGGAGAUCCAAUCCUUGAGUCCAUUCCUUUUAGCAAAAAUAACUAAAACCAUGUUGGCAGAACCAAAUCUUUGCAAAACAUACCACAUCUAUGGCCUCAAGAUAGCUGAGAACCCAAAAGCUUGAAGAAGCCUCCAGUGUUCUCUCAGGAUCAACAGGGUGCUUGCAUCAUCCUGGUCCUCUGUAUUGAUAUUGACAUUGGAGCACUGUGAAUUUGGUAGUACAGGGUCAGCCUACAAAGGGUCUUGAGUAGUAAAGGUCUUAGGUCUUGAAUCCUAAGGAGGUCAAUGAAACUGGCAUAUUAUACAAAUACUUACUAAUAGAAUAACCACAUAAGGGCUGAUCUAAGGAAAGCCUCUGCUUUCAGGAAGAAUUUCACUGAAACCCUCCUGGCAGGUAGGUGACUGGGUCUUUCAAAUAUAGUGUCAUAAUUUUUCUUUAUAACCUAACCCCAAAUUUAAUUAUAAUAAUUCAAUUUACAUGUAAAGCAACGUGCCAUGUCUCUAAGGAAAACGAGAAAGCCACAUUCCUUGCAUUCAACAGUUUAUCAUCUAGUGAUAGGUGUUUAUUGAACAGCAGCAACUGACAUCUGAAUGCUUACUAUGAGCCAGGCACUUCCCAUGCUUUCUCAUUUAAACCAUCACCUUAUGACACUGGUACUAUUAGCCUCAUUCUACAGGUGAAAAAACCAAGGCUCACAGAGGCUAAGUGAUUCACCGAGGGUCACACAGCUAGUAUUCUGGAACUGAGAUUUGAAUCCAGGCAAUCUACUCGCCUCAAGUUUUAUGACAGAGGUACAAACCAAAGAGAAAGCAAAACCAAUUAGAUAGGUUUCAAAUAUGGGAGGGAAAAAAAUAUGGGAGGGAUUUGGGAAAACUGCCAGGAGGAGGUAGUGCAGUCACAGCCAAGACAAAGCACAGGUGUAGUGAAAGAAUGGAGACUAGCUAGUUUGGCCAUGUAAGGUGAAAAGGUACAGUGGUGGAUAUAAAGAGUGAAGAGACAGCCUGAAGUCGGAUCAUGAAGUUAUGCUUAAACAAGUUUAGUUUAGAUUUCAUUCUGUAGAGUGGGAAUGACAGGAACUCAAAGAAAUGAUAUGCUUUCUUUUGUGUUAGGAUUAUUUUGGUAGAAAUUAUUUGGAUAAAGUAGCUGGAGAUGAGUUGAAGGAAGACUGGUUCAGACGCUGUAGAAGUCGAAUAGCUUCUCCUAUGUCAACUGUCCAAGGACUAUUUGUUAAGACAUUUCUUCUGUGUUGAAGGCUCUGCUAUUGUGUGACUUCUGGCAAGUCAUAUACCUUUCUGACGCCUUGAUUUCUUCAUCUGGAAAAUGGAAAAACUGGAUGAGCUCUUUUAGAUUUCAUCCAGCUCUAAAAUUUUCUGAGUUUCAUGAAAAAAAAUUGUCUUCUUGAAAUCUAAUCCUGGAUGGUUUUAGUCUGGGAGUGGAACUGGGCUGAAUUGUAGAAAACUUGAAUGUACUUGAAAAUAUCAUCCCAUUGUUAUCUCCUCCUGGGAAAAGAACCAAAACUCUAAAAAAAUAAUACAGCAUUAUGCUUUCUAUCUUUGAUACCAUUUAUAAAUACCUACUUUUAUUUUGUUGCUGGGUAACUGUGACCCAGAAGAGUUGACUUUGCAUAAGAGAAACCCAGUCCUCCAGUCUUGUUUUUUUUCCUAUAAUCUCCUCAUAGAGUGGUUAGGACAGAGUUAGUGGAAGACUAAGUCAAAAUAUGGUGUUUUUGGACUCCUGUUACAGGGGGUUUUUUGGCCCCAAAGUGGGGCUUGGACUCACUGACUGAGCCAGCCAGGCAUC